rnacentral:rRNA from 1 species
UAAUGAGGCGAACCGGGGGAACUGAAACAUCUAAGUACCCCGAGGAAAAGAAAUCAACCGAGAUUCCCCCAGUAGCGGCGAGCGAACGGGGAGCAGCCCAGAGCCUGAAUCAGUAUGUGUGUUAGUGGAAGCGUCUGGAAAGGCGCGCGAUACAGGGUGACAGCCCCGUACACAAAAAUGCACAUGCUGUGAGCUCGAUGAGUAGGGCGGGACACGUGGUAUCCUGUCUGAAUAUGGGGGGACCAUCCUCCAAGGCUAAAUACUCCUGACUGACCGAUAGUGAACCAGUACCGUGAGGGAAAGGCGAAAAGAACCCCGGCGAGGGGAGUGAAAAAGAACCUGAAACCGUGUACGUACAAGCAGUGGGAGCACGCUUAGGCGUGUGACUGCGUACCUUUUGUAUAAUGGGUCAGCGACUUAUAUUCUGUAGCAAGGUUAACCGAAUAGGGGAGCCGAAGGGAAACCGAGUCUUAACUGGGCGUUAAGUUGCAGGGUAUAGACCCGAAACCCGGUGAUCUAGCCAUGGGCAGGUUGAAGGUUGGGUAACACUAACUGGAGGACCGAACCGACUAAUGUUGAAAAAUUAGCGGAUGACUUGUGGCUGGGGGUGAAAGGCCAAUCAAACCGGGAGAUAGCUGGUUCUCCCCGAAAGCUAUUUAGGUAGCGCCUCGUGAAUUCAUCUCCGGGGGUAGAGCACUGUUUCGGCAAGGGGGUCAUCCCGACUUACCAACCCGAUGCAAACUGCGAAUACCGGAGAAUGUUAUCACGGGAGACACACGGCGGGUGCUAACGUCCGUCGUGAAGAGGGAAACAACCCAGACCGCCAGCUAAGGUCCCAAAGUCAUGGUUAAGUGGGAAACGAUGUGGGAAGGCCCAGACAGCCAGGAUGUUGGCUUAGAAGCAGCCAUCAUUUAAAGAAAGCGUAAUAGCUCACUGGUCGAGUCGGCCUGCGCGGAAGAUGUAACGGGGCUAAACCAUGCACCGAAGCUGCGGCAGCGACGCUGAUGCGUUGUUGGGUAGGGGAGCGUUCUGUAAGCCUGCGAAGGUGUGCUGUGAGGCAUGCUGGAGGUAUCAGAAGUGCGAAUGCUGACAUAAGUAACGAUAAAGCGGGUGAAAAGCCCGCUCGCCGGAAGACCAAGGGUUCCUGUCCAACGUUAAUCGGGGCAGGGUGAGUCGACCCCUAAGGCGAGGCCGAAAGGCGUAGUCGAUGGGAAACAGGUUAAUAUUCCUGUACUUGGUGUUACUGCGAAGGGGGGACGGAGAAGGCUAUGUUGGCCGGGCGACGGUUGUCCCGGUUUAAGCGUGUAGGCUGGUUUUCCAGGCAAAUCCGGAAAAUCAAGGCUGAGGCGUGAUGACGAGGCACUGCGGUGCUGAAGCAACAAAUGCCCUGCUUCCAGGAAAAGCCUCUAAGCAUCAGGUAACAUCAAAUCGUACCCCAAACCGACACAGGUGGUCAGGUAGAGAAUACCAAGGCGCUUGAGAGAACUCGGGUGAAGGAACUAGGCAAAAUGGUGCCGUAACUUCGGGAGAAGGCACGCUGAUAUG